UGGCGAACGGGUGAGUAACACGUGGGUGAUCUGCCCUGCACUUUGGGAUAAGCCUGGGAAACUGGGUCUAAUACCAGAUAGGACCAUGCUGUGGAUGGUGUGGUGGAAAGUUUUUUCGGUGUGGGAUGAGCUUGCGGCCUAUCAGCUUGUUGGUGGGGUAAUGGCCUACCAAGGCGUCGACGGGUAGCCGGCCUGAGAGGGUGUACGGCCACAUUGGGACUGAGAUACGGCCCAG
rnacentral:rRNA from 1 species